rnacentral:tRNA from 1 species
GGAGAUGGAUGGGGCACUGGUGGCCCCCCCGGGCUUCAAACCCGCGCGUUUGGUACUAAUACUAUCAUAGGUAGGUUCGAUUCCUACGCAUCUCCGCCA